rnacentral:rRNA from 1 species
CGGGGAAUAUUGCGCAAUGGGCGAAAGCCUGACGCAGCAACGCCGCGUGAGGGAUGAAGGCUUUCGGGUUGUAAACCUCUUUCAGCAGGGACGAUUGUGACGGUACCUGCAGAAGAAGCCCCGGCCAACUACGUGCCAGCAGCCGCGGUAACACGUAGGGGGCGAGCGUUGUCCGGAUUUAUUGGGCGUAAAGAGCUCGUAGGUGGUUCGGUAAGUCGGGUGUGAAAACUCUGGGCUCAACUCAGAGACGCCACCUGAUACUGCCGUGACUGGAGUCUGGUAGGGGAGUGUGGAAUUCCCGGUGUAGCGGUGAAAUGCGCAGAUAUCGGGAGGAACACCAGUGGCGAAGGCGGCACUCUGGGCCAGUACUGACACUGAGGAGCGAAAGCGUGGGUAGCGAACAGGAUUAGAUACCCUGGUAGUCCACGCCGUAAACGUUGGGCACUAGGUGUGGGUCUCAACCACGGGAUCCGUGCCGCAGCUAACGCAUUAAGUG